AGUGACACCACGUUCAACGGCCGCGGUAUCCUAACCGUGCAAAGGUAGCGCAAUCAAUUGUCCCAUAAAUAGAGACCUGUAUGAAUGGCUAAACGAGGCCCCAACUGUCUCCUGCAGAUAAUCAGUGAAACUGAUCCCCCUGUACAAAAGCAGGGAUAACCACAUAAGACAAGAAGACCCUGUGGAACUUCAAAAUCAGUAGCCACUAACAACCUCCCCAAACCUACCAGGCUUACCACCCAAAACAGCUGGCUAACAUUUUUAGGUUGGGGCGACCCUGGAGAAAAACAAACCCUCCAAAAAUAAGGCCAAACCCCUUAACUAAGAGCAACCCCUCAACGUGCCAACAGUACCCAGACCCAAUAAAAUUGACCAAUGAACCAAGCUACCCCAGGGAUAACAGCGCAAUCUCCCUCAAGAGCCCCUAUCGACAGGGAGGUUUACGACCUCGAUGUUGGAUCAGGACAUCCUAGUGGUGCAGCCGCUACUAAGGGUUCGUUUGUUCAACGAUUAAAAGUCCUACGUGAUCUGAG
rnacentral:rRNA from 1 species